AUGUGUGUGUAUGUCCUUUUGU
rnacentral:miRNA from 1 species